UUGAUGUUUAUUUUAUUAAUUUUUGUUUUCAGUAGCCUAUUUAAGAUGUCUUUGUCUAACUCAGUGUCCCGACUAAUUUUCCUGUUUUUUCUUCUACAAAUUUAGUGGUUUUUAUCUCUUAUAUUUUGGUCUAUGAUUCAUUUUAAGUUAAUUUUUGCAUGUGAAAAGAGGUAAUGAUUGAAGAACAUUUUUUUCUUCAUACAGAUACCCAGUUGUGCCACCACAGUUUGUUACAAAAACAUACCUUUUACCUCAUUGAAUUACCUUGGCUCCUUUGUUGAAAAUGUUUCAACCAUGAGUGUAGGUCUAUUGCUGACCUCUCUUCUUUCCGCUGAUCUAUCAUUCCAGUGCCACACUGGCUCAAUUACUGUAGCUUUAUAGCAAGUCUUGAAAUCGGGUAGUUUAUCUUUGUUCAUUAUUUACAUUUUCCUGUCAAAGUCACCAAUUUGGCUUCCAUGUUACUAAAGUUAAAUAGUCUCAAAUUUACCUUUCUCCAGAGUUUGGGACUAUUGAACUUUUUGAAAGUUUCUCUUCUCUUAUUUUUCAUUUAAUCUUUGAUGUAGUUCCAAGUCUUGCUGUAACUGGUACCUGGUUCCAAGUGAAGUCACUUGGAUAGUGCACAUUGAUUGACCCCAGCAAUAGUUAUUCAAAUGCCAGGGACUGCCAGGAAAUACAGGGUGGCGUAAUACCCAAUUUUUACUUGCAAGGAAUUGACAAGCUAGAGCAAGAUAGGGAAAUGUGGCAUAUUUAUAUACAAGAAUAAAUUAUAUUGGCUAGCACAGAAUUAACUGUUGAAUGAAUGGAAUAGGCAAUCUAUACUACACCAGUCUUCCAGAGGAGGGAGGAUUCUUUUAGCAAACAUGAGAAUUGACUGGGCUUUGAAGUAUAGGCAGAAAUUUGAUUGGCAGGAGCAGGAUUACAAGCAGAAGAUGUUUCAGGGGAUGAGGGAAUAGGUUGAAGUAACCUGGGCUUGGAAUAAAGGGUAAGAGUCGGCAGGCUUAUGGUGAACAAUACAUUUCAACUGUGGAGUCUUACUUGGAACUCCAGUGUCCAUGGAACAAAUCACUAUGCAGGCAAAGAAAUGGCCAAGGAUGGAGAAGUGAUGAGGAAUCUGGAGCAGAAAGCCAGCUAAGAUAUAUUAGGGCAAAGGGAAAAAUGAACAGGACAAAACGUAGCAAAGAACCUGACCAGGAUGCUAAAGGAUUCUGACUGUAUAAGUCACACAUGGAUAGUUUAAAUGCGAGUUCAGCAAUUCACACAAAGUACCAAAGGUGCCUCUGUGACCCAGCCUGGUCAUAGAGGAGGAGGAAGACAGUGAAUUUAAAAUUGCUGGGCAAGAGGGAAAAGGAACAUUUCUUGAGCACCUACUAUGUGCAAACUAGGUUUUUCACAAGCUUUUUAUUCUCUUAACAACUCUGUAAAGACUAUAUUUGCAAUAUUUUGAAUAUUCAGAAGCAAAAGUAAUCCUUAUUAAAACAUUCCUCCAGGGACCUGCUUAUCUUGAUCUGUUCACUCCCAGCAUCCAGAGCUGUUCUUAACUUGGGAUUUUAUAAGCUGGAAACGAAAUUAGUUCAGAGUCACUGAUCUGGGUUGCUUUUGCUCAAUAUCUAAUAUAGGCAUGAAUGGAUGAAUUUGGACAUCAGUUUUCAGUUUCUCCUCCUGAAGGAUUUCUCCUCUUUCAUUAUUCGGAUUCUGUCAAUCCUUUUUAGAGCCUUCUAUGUUGUUCCUGUUCCUUGCUGAUUUGGUCUAUGAUGUCACUUGUAAUAUAGACUUUUAUGGGUUGUGUACGUGUUCCUCACUUCAUAGACUGUCGUGUUAGGGAGGCCUUGCUUUACUCCAAAACGCACUUUCAAAGAGCUGCCUCUCAGCUACCGGAAUCCCAGAACUGGUUUCAAACUAAGGUCCUAUUCUGGCGUAACUACUCUGGGCUUUGUAUGAUCAGUCUUUAAGUUUGGGGGUUUUCUUCCGCAUCGCAUAAUGAAGAGGACCCUGCUUUUUGAGGGGUCACAUGGAUCAUGUUUUUGGACAUGCCUAUUUUCUUCUCUGCUCCAGAUUUUCUAUGUGAACUUGGGGGCAUUUCCUAACUUUUUUGAAACUCAUUUAUUCAAAUAUUUAUGCAACAACUGUUAUGUGACAAGCAUUAUUCUGGGUCCUACAGACACAGUGGUAAAUGGUAUACUAUAAGAUUGUUUCAACAUAUUGUAGAUAUUGUAAAAUGGCUGCCACCAUUGACACCUUAUGGGCUGUCAGCUAUGCACUUACCACCAUUUGGAAGGAGAGCAAACUUUCAGAUUUGGAUUUAAGCUGAGUGUAAGCAAACAUUGCCCUUCAGGUAAAAAAUGUGGACACCAUAAUACUCUGCUAAGAAGCAGUGUGAGUGUGGGAGAAAUGGUUUCAGAAAACGGAAAUUCUGUCUGUAUGUUAGCAUUGUCAGAAAAGGGAUCCUAAAAGAUAAUGGCAUUUAAGCUAAGGUUACAAUCCUGGAAAAAAAUAAUGUGCUUGUUCAAAUAGAAUUGGCAAUUCGUGUAUCAUUUAUCAGCCACUUAACAUAAGCCACUUAACUGAGAACCUACUUUGUACAGGAUUUUCUGUGUAUAACAGCUAGCUGGAGACCUAUGUAGUUUAAAAAUAAUUUUCCCAAACCACCCAGAUGGAAAAAGCUUAAGCUGGGACUAGAACUCAGGUCUCCUAAUUCCUUACAGAACGAAAUGCCCUAUGUUUCCUUACUUCAUUGAGUUCUUUACUCAAAUGUCAGCUCAAGGAGCCUUUCCUGACCUCGUCUAAAAUUACUUCUUUUUACACUUAGCACUACCUGACAUUAUAAACAUUUUUAGGGCCUUUUUCAUUGCUUCUUUUCCAAACCAGAAUGCACACUUGAUGAGGGCAGGGGCUGAGUCCUUUUUGUUCACAGAACACUGGAACGGCGCUCAGCAUAGUAACUUCUAGCUGUGUUCAUGGUCCUCCCACCGGGAGCCUGUGCCAGCAGUAGCUUCACAGUCCUUGCAAAAUACGGUCUCAGAACCCCAGCCUGGCCCACCAGGUUGGGGCAGUCUGGCGGCCACCCAUCUCUCCAGCUUCAGCUUCAGUCAUUCUCAGCCAUGAACCUUGGCUCUAGCUGCCUAAGUCCACUUGUUAUUCCCCAAACAUAUAUUUAUGUCUUUACUCAUGAAUGUCUCACUGCCUGAAAUCCUUGCUCCUUCCUUAUUAGCUGGAUGACUUCCCUUCAUCUAUCAAUGACCAACUCAAAUGUCAUAAUAACUUCUGAUUCCAACCCAAACUAGUUGCUCUAUUUGUGCCCCCCAAAAAACUAUGCAUACCUCCAUGAGAGUAUUUAUCACAUUUCAUUGAUUCAUUCAACAAAUAUUAGUGGGGUGCCUUCCAUGUAGGAGGCACAGUAUUCUUUAAAAAUGUGUCCAUCUUUUUCUAAGGCAAGACUGAGAACUCUUUCAGGGGUCAAGUCUUAUUUAUUUUUGUACCUCUCAGAACUCUGCACAAAGUUUGACUCUGCUUCACCAACUCUCAUUUACCCAUCAAGAUUCACUGUGAAUAUGGUAUUCUCUAGAAAAGUUUAUAUAGCUUGUUAGGGAUCCCUACAAUUUCUGAUAAACUUCUAAAUUAUUACCUGCAAAUAGGUGUGUGUUGAUUCACUUGCAUUUUUGUCUGUGGCACCAGCUGCGAGCACCUGUUACGUUUGAAUCUGUAGCACCUAACAGAGGAGCUGGCACAGGAAGCUUCAAUGAAUGGGUGUGGACUUCCUGGUGGUGAAUUCAGGGUCUUAGUGCCUCCAUUCUCUGUGGAGAAAGAUCAAAUCUGGUUGGAUGGCUCCCUUCAUCAGCUUGAUCCCUAGUCCCCCUUAGUCAUUUUAAGAUGCCAUGGUGAGAUGCCUCACUUUCUGAAGUUGGAGAGGCUAAACCAACUGCUGAGUGUUUCUGCUGUGCUGGUAGCACUUCGGGUAAAACAGUGUAAAUAAUAUCACUGAAGGCAGCCUCCUUUCAUCUGCAGAUUAACUGGGCAAUGUUCAUCACCUUCUUAGCCAGGAAAAGCUUUUAUCAGGCUCAGCUAACAGCUUGCAUUAGCCUCUUACAAGGACUUGCCACAUUGCCUUUAAACUGACAUGCUGCAGAGUCAGCCCCGGUAAGAGUCCAAAAAAAGUGGAAUCUUUUCUGAUGACUGUCAGAAUGGAUGGUGUAUCUAUCUCCAGGCUGGAAAAAUUCAAUAAAUUGCCUGUUUGGCAGUGGAGGGGAGAGUCAUCAGUAAAGUAGGCUGACCCUUAUGUGGGCAGAAUGACUGAAUAUUUUGCUAAUGUUCAGAAGAGUUCUCUUUGUAAGCACCAUGGCAAAACUUCUUUAACAGAGGUUAAGUGUCUGAGUUUCGUCAGCAUUAUUCUAUGCCAAGACCUGGAAAGGUAAAUGUUGACCUCCCCAAAUGGCAAAAAUUGCCUGCAUAUUUAGACUUCUUUGAUCAGAGACCCAAUGAAAGUAUUUCUAUAGUGUUCACCUCAUCAUAACUUAAAUCUCUUCAUUGACCAUUCACUGGCCAUGAGUGAAGUUGGAAAGGGCUGUCUCCCCUUUGAAUCUGAAAAUGAAAAUGAGUGACUUAUUCAGUGUCCAUGGGAAGGUAGACUAUCCAUCCUUUCCCUUUUUGUUUUGCUUUGUUUUCAAGUAAUACUGGUUGCAGUAACUGCUCCAGUGUAAUCGUUAUUGCUGACAUCAUUUGCAUUUCUAUGACAUGGAGAAUGGUGACUCCGUGGAUGCCAGAUCCCAGAAGGCUUAUUUUACAGGGUUGUCCAAACACAGACAUCUCCCGUCCAGGCCCUGUGAAGCCCCCAUGACUUCACAGCUGGGAUAGUUCUAUGUGAGGUGUCAAAGGACUCAGUACAACCAGGUCUACAUCCUGUGAAACAGACCAAAGGACACCCUUUAACCUCAGAGGCAGUGGUCUGAGUAAUUGUCCUAGUUCUGAAGAGAUUAGCUACCUUCCCAGCCUCUGGCUUGCUUCUCCUUCUCAUAGUGAGAAUGAUACUUCCUCCUUUCUUCACACUCAUUUACAUAUUGGCGAUGAAUGCCCUCUUGAAAGACAUAUAUUAAUGUACAAAGUUAGCAUUACUGAUUUUGGUAUAUCAAAUCCAUUGAUGGACCACAAAUGAUGUCUUUAAAAUGCUUUCCAUUAUGUCCCACAAAGACUCAGAAAGGCAGGCACUUUUAUCCUCUAUUUAUAUAUGAGGCUAAGAGAAGCCGAGGAACUUAUUCAAGGUCAAUACCCAGUAAACAGCAGAACCAGGAUUUGAGCCCAGAGCUAGUCUAUCUCCAAAGAUUUUUGGUAAAAAUUAGGCUUCUAUAUACUCUGCAUUUAUCUAAGGCUGUGGCACUAUUCAAGAAACCACCCAUCAGUGAGAUGCAAUGAUCUAUAAUCAUUGGAUUUAUAGAAAACUAGCCACUAAAUCAGAGUCAUUCAGAGUCCCUGAAAAGCAGUAUUGUGGAUACUCAAGAAACGAUCACGAAAGUUGCUUUAAUUUUCAGAAUUAAAAAAUAACUAUCAAAGUCAGCACUUGGGGAGACUGGGGGAUUUGGGUGUGUGAGGAAGGAGUAGGAUGUGAGGGACAAGUGGGACACUGAAUCUCCCAGAGCGUUCGCCCCCUUCCUUCAAAGCUUUAACCACCAGGGCCAAAUGUCCACAAGACUGGUCAUCCGCAAGUACACAGCAGAGCAUGAGUUAGGAGCGUCUCCUUUUUAGCAUUCAUUUCUGACUUUAAUCACUUGUGCCCCAUGCCUACAGUGGGCCAGGCCUUGUUAUAAUCAGAUAAAUACAUGUUUUAGUGAUCUUGAAAACAACAGAGGAAAGUAAAGCAACAUGCCUGCAGCCACACAGUACCCCCCGAUUGUGUUGCUAUCUCCAAAGGCAGGUCCUAGGCAGGUCCCUACUGCCUACUCCAAAGGCAGUAGUUUGAAAACUACUAAAAGCGUUUUCAAAUUGCUCUCCUUGCUUGAAAGCAUUUGUGCCCUUCACAGCACACAUAUCAGCUAAAUCUAUUGAAAUUGCAAAUCACAACCUAACACUCACCCCAACCCACACCCAUGUAAAAACUUACCAAGACACUGCAUAAAUUCCAAAAUCCCUGACAGAUCCUAUGAGGUCCACCACAGCUGGCCCCUGCCUAUCUCCCUAGCCUUGUCUCCAACCUCUUCCCCCUCGCUCACCUUGCUCCAGUGGUGCUGGCUUUCUUUAAUUUCCUUAAACAUACCAAACUCUAUCCAAAUUCUGGCUCUUGAAAUUGCUCUUCCCUGUGCCUGGAAUUCUCACAGAUCUCUGGAUAGUAAGCUCCUUAUCACCAUUUAGCUAGUAUUUUUAUGACCAUGCUAGCUAAGUAGCCACUCCUCCCACCCUUGGACACACACUCCUUCAUACUUACCUCUUACUCUGCAUUAUUUUCUCACAAAAUCACUAGAUUUUUGGUUUGUUUGGUUCUUAUCGUUAGAAUAACAACACAAGAGAAGAAACUUCAUCUUGUUCUUUGUUAUAUUCCCAGAGCUUUCAACAGUGCCUAACAUGUAGCACACAUUUAAUGCAUCCUUGAUGAAUGAAUGAAAUGGAUGAAGUGAACCUCUAAACCCAAAUCUGCCUGAAGUGAAAGGCCACACUUUGACCACCAAUAUGCUGCAAUUUUUAAUUAAAUUCUUAAGAUAGAUUCAGUAAUGGGCUAGGCAGGAAUAAUAUCUGGUCCCUCCCUUCAAAAUGUUUACAAUUUAGUUGUAAUAUGACACUUAUGCAUUCUUGGGAUAGCAAAUAAUACCACUGAGUUCUCGGUAAAGGGAAUGGCAUCCGAGGGCAUCAGAAUGCAGAAUAGAAUGGUCAGUGAAGACCCAGGCAGUCCUUAAAGGCUUUCUAGAGGUGAGUGAUUGGUAGGAGCUUUGAAUGGUGGAGGCAACUUAGAGAAGGAGAGAAGACUAUUGGGUUCUUGGUUAAGACCUAGCAUCGGUGAGUUUAUCCAGGACAGAGUCUAAUCAAUGACAUGUAUUUUAGGACAUCCCAGACUAGGGACAUUUGUUAGAGCCUUUUUUCCAGGAAACAACAACAACAACAACAACAACAACAACAACAACAACACUCACCCUUCAUAUACAAGUACAAUUUCACAAGAAAACAAGGCACACAAGGGAAGAGGAAAGGAGGAAAGGAAAUGAGGCUCCAUGUUUCUGAUUGUGGUGGUGGUAGGGGAGAGACAGAGCUAGCACACAAUGAGUAUCAGAUAGUUGUUGCCUCUCUUACCCUUGAAGUUCUUUUUUUUGUGGAAUUCAUCUGGAAUUUUAUGCUUUCUCCAAAAAUAAGUCACCAAUAGUAGGGGCUCAUAAGAGGAGGCCACCACUUUGGGGCAAAUGGUAGGGCAAGGCCUCUCUGUAGCAUCGUAUAUACCCAGGUAUGGGGCUGCACAGAGCCCUGGCCAUUGGCAGAGACCAUCCUAGAGUUUGUCAGAGGGCUGUAGCUGCCCCUCAGAGGAGAUUCCCCCACCUCCAAUCAUGGCUCCCAGUGAAGUGUAGAGCAAGGAGAUCCUUGAGAACUAGGUCACUAACUAGUAAAGUGACUUACUAUGUUCAGAAUAAACAUCCAUCCAUCCAUCCAUCCAUCCAUUCAUUUAACAAGCGAGUAUCAUGCAAAUUUCAGGAGCUAUUUCUUGAGGAAUUCAUGGUCUACCCACAAGGAAGCCCAUGUGCAGUUAGUGUCUUAAGUGGCUACUCAUGCUUCCAGGUCUGGGUUGGUUGAAAAUGUUUAUCACAUAUCCAGGCCUGACCACAAAAUCACACCAAAACAAACCAAAACACUCCAUGAAGGGAAAGACUAUGCUUAACCUUUUUUUCCUCUCAGGCUCUUCCCAGAAAGGUGAUAAUGGAAGAUUUGGUCCCAACAGGGACACAGGCAAGGGAUUUGCAUUUUAAAGUUUGACAGAUAUUUAUAGGCCUUUUGAUCUCCUUUUUCCCCCUUACCACCCACUCCCUGAAACUUGCCUGCCUCCUCCUCCCCCACCCGAUUCUGUGCAUUGUCCCAGGUACAAAUCAAAGAAAUGGUGAUGGCUCCAGAGCCAGAGGACCCUGGUGCACUGACGUGGUGUGCCCAAAAUCACAUAGCUCCUAUUUAUUGAAUAUUGACUGUAUAUCAGGUACUUUUCUUAAUUCCUACCCCCCACAAUCUCCCUGCAAGCUUCAUUUAUGAUUUACCUUUUGUUGUUGUUGUUAAGGGGUGGGGGGGACUGAGGCUCAGAGAGAUUAAAAAACCUGCUCCAGUCACCAAUAAGUAGUGGAGACAGAAUUAAAACCCAGGUCUGUAUGUCCCAACCUAUGACCUUUUCAGUAAGCCAGGCUGACUCCAGUAGACAAGGGUGGUUCUUGCAGGCUGCUUAGCUAAGAUCCUUCUCAGAACAGAUUAUCCUGCAUUCCAGUUUUGCUGGUGUUAUUCUGGAAAUAGCCCAAUAAAUGUCACAAUUUGAUUUACUUGGGACAAACUGGCAGCUGCCUUUUCCUUUGCAGCUCUUCUUGGGCUCAGAACUUUCCCUUUGCUUCUACUCAUCUUUCGCACAGACCACUUCGGCCCAACAGCUGCAAGCCUGGGUUUAGAACCAGCAUCUGCAGCCUCAUAGGGUUUGCUGAACACAGCUUCUCUCCAGCCCUAAGAAAGCCUAUUGGAAACAAACUCAGAAUCUCAGACCCUUACAUUUUUGCAGCUGGAGGGGGUCUCAAAAACCAUCCAAGAAACAGGCAUUCAGACAAUGACUUGUGCAGAGUAACUGGCACCAGAUUUAUUAGAAUACUAUAUAUUUGCUAUAUUAAAAGUGGACAGGUGGCAGUUAUACUCGUGAGGAACAGUGUAAUGUGUAAACUUGUCAAAUCACUGAGUUGUAUAUUUUUUACUAAUGUAACAUUGUGUGUCAAGUAUACUCAAAAAAAAAAAAAAAGGAAAGAGAAACAAAUCACAUUAACACUUCCAUGUGCUAGGUGGUUUGUUGUAUUUAAUCUUCACUACAACCCAGUGAGGUACAAUUAAUUACUGUCCUCAUGUUACAGAUGAGUCCUGGCUUAGAGAAAUAACUGACUUAAGGUUCUUAACGAGUACCUAGUGGGACCAGAAGGUCUGAACUUGGGCACUGCAGGUAACACAGACCCUUCCUGUCCCACAGCAGGUGGAGGGGUGUGAUGAAAAGCACAAACAACACCCAGGUUGAAGUGACUGGCCUAGGAAAUUUGUUCCUGUGCAGAAGAGUGAAGAGUCAGCCGAAUGAAGCAAUGAAUGCAAUCAUUUUGUGGACUAAUGGAGAUAGAAUCCAACCUCAUGGUAGAGGCUCUCGGUAAGGUUCCUCUCCAGAAGAAUGGCUACAGAAGGAGAAAUCUCCUCUCCCGAGCACCCAGGGUAGAUUCUGGUGUGGACUGAGCUGCUCCUGAGGAAACUCUUUUCUGAAUGAUUGCCCAUCAAACACAUAGUUGUGGGGCCCAAGUUUCAGGACAACAGGGGUCCGAGAUGAUGCUGGUCCAACGACUUCAGAUUUUAUCCAGCAUGCCCUGGCCCAACCCCAUCUGCUCUUAAGGCUGGAUGCAUUAACCAAUCUGGAAGCAAGUUUGUGAGAGCAAAACCAGCUUGGUGAUACCCUGUGAAGGAGGCUGUUGCUAUUCUGGCCCAGGAAGAAUGGCAUUGAGAGACUGUGCACAGCUCACAGGAAGCCUGCAAGGCUGCACUCCCGCAGAAAUGAGAGAGGGUGGGACAAACGAGGCCGACAAGCAUUGACAGGGGAAAUACCUUGGGAUGUUCUGUACUGGAUCAGACUCCAGGUGAUCUUGUCAUCAUGCAAGUGUGGGAAUGUAUGCAUGUGAACUCUAUGACGUGCAUACUGAACAUAGAGCUCCAACAAGGACUUGGCAACCCUUACUGUAUCCGACUCGCCAGCGUCCUAUUAUCUUUACAAGAGUAAUUCCCCUCCCUUCCUCCCUUCCUUCCUCCUUUGUCCUUUCUUCAUUUUUGAGUAAAUGUGCUACCCAGAUGCUUUGAUUCAACUUGAGGGCAACUGUGGUUCCUGAGUCUAUAUCCAAGGCCAGGUAUCAUGCCAUUUCUCUACAUGUAUUAAUCUCCACAACAAUCCUGUGAAGUGUGUACUGUUAUCAUCCCCAUAUCACAAAAAGAGAAACUGAGACACAGAGAGAUUCAGUUACCUGCUUAUGAUCGCAUAAAAGGAGAAGGGUCAAGAUUUGAACCUAGGAACACUGGCUGACAGUCUUUGCUUCAAAUCAUGCUUCAAACCAUUAGACAACGAAGCAAGUAAGGUGAAUAAAGAAAAAUACCCUCAAUUCCUCUUACCAGAAACAACCACUCAAACACUUAGUCAUUUUUAUAUGCAAACAUUUAAUUGAAUCAAAGUAUUAAUUUUAUAUGCCCUGCUUAAAAACUCUACAAUUAGAUUAUAUCUCCUCUGUUGUGUGUUCCUUGCAAAUCUGAUUUUUGUUAACUAUGUAGUAUUCCAUCAUACAGAGAGGGCAUAAUUUAUAUAUCCCUACUUUGUUGUUAGAUUUCAAAGUUGUUUUUAAUUUUUUACUAUCAUAAUAUUAUGAUAAAUAUUCUUUUUUAUAAAUAUUUGACUAUGACUUUGUUUGGUUCUAUAGAAUAAAGUUCAUAUGCCAAAGGUAGUUUUAAAUCUAAAAUGCAUUCUAGGGACACCUGGGUGGCUCAGUCGGUUAAGCAUCCAACUUUGGCUCAGGUCAUGAUCCCGUGUUUCAUGGGUUCGAGCCCCAGAUCGGGCUCUGU